rnacentral:lncRNA from 1 species
ACAGAACAAAAGCAGUCAUAAACCAAGGCAAUUGAAAAUACAUUUGUGGGUACGUUAGAGAGGCAGCAAGACGGGGCAAGCUCUCUAUAGGCCCAAGAUGCUAUCUGAUGACAUUCUUAGCUUUGGGUUUGGUGGGAGCUAGUGGUUUGAUUUAAUGGAUUGAAAAGCUUUUUGGUCUAGUUUGGUUUUUUGGUUUGUUUUGUUUUGAGUGGCUCGUCUGGGUUCAGGAAAGUAUAGCUCCAGUUUAGUGUUCUUAUGGAUCAUCGACUGUACCCAAGACCAGAAACGGAAACAACUAGAUCAUCUUCAACUGAAGAACGGAGACAGAAACGUGAUACAG